rnacentral:tRNA from 2 species
GGAGGUUUUAGCUUAAUUAAAGUGUCUGGUUUGCAGUCAGAGGAUGUAGUUUAUAGGAUUACAAAUCUU